AUUUCCCCCCUGAAGGAAAUGAACCAGGUAUCCUAGGACCUGUGAUUAAGAGCUGUAGCCCAUCCCAUCCCCUCUACCUGUGACAAAAUGUGGCAAGAGAACCUUCCCUGCACCCCACCUAAGAAUUUAACAUCUGCCAUUUUCAUCCUUUAAGCAGAUGGAGUUCAGUAUUCUCUCCUGGCAUUGCCGGUCCAGUCCCCUGCUGUCCUGGCCAGGACCCCCUGCUCUGGCAAUAAAGGGGAGCAGCUCUCCUUGAUGGAAAUGAGAAGCCCCCACCCUUUAUCUUGAGCAGAAAGAAGAAAGGUGCCUAAGACCGCUGGUGGCAACUGGGAGACACUUGUAGGCCCUGUCCCCUGCAGCCACUCUCAGGCCACCUUCCCCCACCCCCUCCGCCCUGGUCUUCCCGCUUCUCAGUGCUGGCUCUUGCCAUCCCUGCUCAAUAC
rnacentral:lncRNA from 1 species